rnacentral:lncRNA from 1 species
GACGGUUGCCCAGAGCAAGGCCCAUGUAGCAUCCCUGGAGGGCCUCAUCCCUGAAGAUAAGGUUGUGCUUCUGGCAGGUUCUCCCUUACAGAAUGAAGCCACCCUGGGUCAGUGUGGGGUGGAAGCCCUGACAACCCUGGAAGUGGUUGGCCGCAGGCUAGGAGGUAAUAACUGCCUCUCACUGCAAGUCAACCCUGUACAACCAGCCAGAUAUUUGUGGACAACACUUCACAGCUCAAAACAAGGUGAACCUAACUCCUCAGCAAACCACAGAUGCUCCUGAAAGUCUCCAAGGCCAGAAGAAAACCCCUAAACAUAUACCACACUGUGGCAACUGUAGCCUAGAAGGUAACGAAUGAAGAACACAGCAAAUAUCUGAGAGUUGCUGCCUGAAGACACAGGACAAUGACCUCAGAAGGAUGGGGAUGGGCUGGAAAACCUCUGGUCUCUACCCUCCUUACAGCUGUGAUUUGCUUCUCCCUAGGAAGGUCCUGCUUCCAUGCUUCUCCCCAUACCCCACUCACUUGAGUGUCUCACACGGGAUGGUAACUAGAUGUAACACUUGCCAAGGGGUCAUUAUCACCUACUAAAUACAAAUAGAUGUCUAGCUUGUCUGUCCACAGAGAGGUGAAUGAUGAGAGAAUUCAAUCUCCUGGAAUCAAAAGAACUUUUUGGUGUGUAUUCUACAAAUUAAAAACUCAAUGACCAGCCGGGCAUGGUGACUCACGCCUGUAAUCCUAGCACUUUGGGAGGCUGAGGCAGGCAGAUUGCCUGAGCUCAAGAGUUCGAAGGCCGGGUGC